CUUAGAAGUCUGAGCGCAAGAUUUCUCCUACCUUAAAACCCCCAUAUCUGGCAGUUAUAUCUUCCCCAACCCGAAAUCCACCAACAUUCAAAAUUUCAGACAGACACCAACCUAAGACCAUGUCCGCUUCAAAACCCACUUCUUACCCAUCGGUCGACAUGAACGACCUCGCCGAGAACCUCUUCCCGGAGGACGACGCCGUUUCGACAGAAAUCCCAGUUACCCAUUCCUCCGAGGACCUCCUGGUCAAAAUCCCCGGCGCUAUCGUCCACCUCAUAGAGAAGGACUCGAGCAUCGAACUCGCCCGCGGAGAACUCACCGUCGUUGGUCUCCGGCAGAACGGGAAUGUAGUCGCUGUACUCGCGCGCGUGGGAGACCAGAUUCAGUGGCCUCUGGCGAAAGACGAACCCUCCGUGAAGCUCGAUCAGUCCCACUACUUCUUCACUAUUCGGGUCCCGGCAGAUGGGUGGCCAAAAAGAGGAGAAAUUGACGACUCGACCGGGAAGAGAGGCGAAUUCGAGUUGCUGAAUUACGGGUUGACUUUGGGGUCAGCGGGGCAGGAGGGUUUGCUGAGGGAAUUUGAUCAGAUUCUGGGGAAUUACAGUUGUUUUUCGGAGGGGAAGGUUGAGGGGGUGGGGAAUUGGGAGGUUUUGGACGCCAAGGGGGAGGAGGUUGGCGAUAGGGCCGCGGCGUACUGGACUACUCUGGCUCCGAAUGUGGAGGAUUACAGCGGGAAAUGUGCGCGGUUGAUUGUGGCGGGUUCGGGGCAGAUGAUAAGGGGAAUUCUGUGGUGUGGGGAUGUGACGGUGGAUAGGUUGAAGUGGGGGAACGAGUUCUUGAAGAUGAGGAUGGGACCCACUUCGCCAUCGGAGAUUAGUCCGGAGGCCUUCAGGAGGAUCCAAAGGGUUAAGAAGUUGACCAAGAGGUCGGAGGAAGUGGCCACCGGGAUCCUUUCAGGGGUUGUCAAAGUAUCUGGAUUUUUCACGAGUUCCAUAGUUAACUCUAAAGUGGGGCAGAAGUUUUUUAGCCUUUUGCCUGGAGAAAUCAUCCUUGCUUCCUUGGAUGGAUUCAGAAAUAGGACUAGUGACAUUUCUCUUGUGCUCAAGUUUGCUGUUUGUGUUUGAAAACACAGACAAGGUCUGUGAUGCUGUGGAAGUUGCGGGAAGGAAUGUCAUGUCAACCACAUCGGUCGUCACCACUGGGCUUGUUUCACAUAGGUACGGAGAACCGGCGGGGAAGGUGACGAAUGAAGGGCUUGAUGCCGCAGGGCACGCUAUAGGGGCAGCUUGGGCCGUGUUCAAGGUGAGUAAGGCUCUGAACCCGAAGAGCGUGAUCAAGCCAACAAAGCUUGUUAAAGCUGCUGCUGAAUCCAAAUCCUCGUCCAAGUUGAAGUCCUCAAAAUAAGAAGUGAUAUGCCUCUCUUGAUAGCUGUUUGGGUUUGUAAAUGAAUGGAUUUCUCCAAAUUUAUGUUCCUUUUUUGUCAAAGUCUGAAAAUGGAGUGUGUGUGUAUCUAAAAUACGAAUGAAAAUAGUAAUUCUGAGCCUUUGCAUGCACCCAAGCGGGUCUUCUGAGAGAUUCCACGAUCAAACAUGGGAGGAUCGAUAAAUAUGCAUAUUGGUGGUCUCAUCUUUUAAAUUAGAUUAAACAUGUUGUAAUCAUCUGCGCAGAAUUUGGCAUACACAAUGAACCAGAGCAGUCUCAGUAUGCAUCGCUUUUAA